rnacentral:pre_miRNA from 1 species
UAACCUCCACAGGCUGGAGGGCCUGCAGGCUGGGAUAGGCAAGUACCUAUUCAAAAGGCUCACCCUCACGCAUGACUAGGAGA